UACCGAAAUUUUCCUCGGUAGUUAACUGCAGCCGGUUUAUAAAUUCCUCGGCAGUUAACUGCAGAGGGGAUA
rnacentral:pre_miRNA from 1 species